AUUAUUAUCUAUAUCUAUAUAACUAUAUAAAACAUCUUCCAUGUACAUAAUGGUCAUUUCAAGCACCUUUUUUAAGAUGGCAUAUGAAAAGGCAGUUAAAAACUCUAAUUUUUUGUCAUUUUCUCCCAUUUCUGCCCCUCUUUCCUCACACACCGGCCUCUCUCUUUCCCCCAUAAAAAGUUAAAAACCUAUCACAUGCCUUCAGUUUUCAAUUGCAAAUGAAGCGUCUUGCCUUCCUGAUUCCUGAGAUAGAGUCUUUUGUUUACUUCAAUUGAAUGUCCAAAUUGAUGACAUUAAUUGUCAUCAGUUUACUACAACUGAAUAGUCAUCAGUUUACUGAAAUUGAAUAGGAGAUAGAAUUUCACAAUUGCUCCUUCUCUCUUUAUCACUAAUUCAAACCGUAGUGGAUUUUGUAAUAACCCUAAAUCUCCUUAUGUCUUUAUUACUAAUCUAAACCAGAUUUCGAGGUAACUUUUUGAGUUUUCGCUAUUUCUUUAAUUUCGAUUCAGUUGUUUUAUCAAUCUUGUUGAUCCGGCCAUCGAUUUGUACUUUCCAUUGGGGUUGGUGUCCCCCGGUGAUUGACACAUCUGUGAUUAAUGGUACAUACAAAAAGGAUUUAUUGAAAACAAUGAUACUACUGUUCAAGUUACCAAUUGGAUGUUUAUGCAUUUUUAUAGUCAGGUGUCUUGAUAAUAUCAUGCUGUUGUGUUGUCUGUAAUAUAUUAUGAUUUUAAAAGAUUAAUGCGCUCAAUAUGGAUUAUCGGAGUUCAGACCAGCUAGCGAGACCGAGAACCUACUCUGUUGGAAUGUCGACGAAGACUUCUCUAUCGUUCAAUCGCGAGAUCGGAGAUUUUGUUAGUAAAAUCUAUUUCACUAUUUGCCUUGUGUUCACUCUUUUGCGAUAUCUCGGUACAAGUAAGCUGUUUAUUGUACUGAAAUUGGUUAAAGAAUGGUUAAAUUUUGAAUGAAUUUGCUUUAAUAGGUUGAUCUGAAUGUGUAGAUUUUGAUUUCUGUAUGCGUUACAGAUCUGAGAUAGCAACAGAUCAAAUGAAACAAGGUGAACAAAUAGAGAAGAUAAGAUUCGAAAAAUAACAAAGAGCAGUGAAGCGAUGGUGGCAGGUUUACCGGAAAAACAGAGCUUAGUCACCCGAAAAGGUCACCGGAGAUGAUGGAGUUUUGAUACCAUGAAGAAACUCAUGAUAAUCAGGUAUCAUAGGAAUUCUAUCAAUGUUUUUCUUGUCAUUCCAUGAAAAACUGCAUAUUGUACUCGCACUACUGUCUUUAACUGCUGGAAGUGUUGGCGUUGCAAUAGCAGAUGUAACCGUUGAUGCGGGCGUAGCGCAAUAAAGCGGUAUUCAUCCUUCACUUGCUCCAGACAUGCAAAGCUUAUGUGCCCUCAGUUCUUCCAUUGGACGCCUGAUCGGAUUUGCUUCAAGUGGCGUAUUUGUACACUUAAUCGGCCCCAAGCUACGCUGGGAAUCUUGGAUUGUGUGGGGAUCCUUUGCCUCUUUAUGAGGGUAGUACUAAGAAAGCACGUACGGGUGUAAUUAUUGGGGCGGCACUUGGCAGAUCUGUUGCGAUUGUUGCGUUAGUUGUAGGUGGCGGGAUGAUGUUCGUUAUGAGAAAAGUUGUUAGAAAAAUACAAAGGAAAAAGAAGAAGAUCCUGAUGAAAAUAAAUGGAUCCGGAGUAUCAAAGGAACCAAAAAGAUCAAGGCAAGAUGACUGAAUGCUUAUAUUAGCGGUGGAUAACGAGUCAAAACAUAUAUAUGUUUUUAAGUGCGGGUCGAAAUGGGUCGGGCUAUAUACACUUUUUGAAUAAGUUUUAGUCGUUAAAAAUCCACUUUUGACCCAAAACUCUAUUAUUCAAAAAGUUUUACCUUUUUCUUUAUAGCCAAAAGGAUUAGGAAAAAAGACGGGGGCUUAGAUGUUAAAAAUCUUUUUUUGGGCUAAAAGGGUAAAAGUGAUAUAGCCACAGGGGCCAAAAUCGUAAUUUACUCUUUUAUAAAUAAUCAGUGUGCCAAAUAUGAUUACAUACUUUUUGAAAUUUCAAAACAAUUUAGUUUAUUAAAUAAAAAUGAUUUGGGAUGAUAUAUGCAUUAAAA